rnacentral:rRNA from 1 species
AUGGAAUCGAACCGACUCGGGUACGAAUAUCCCUGUGACACGAAGAUAAAACCGAUCGCGAUCGCAUCGCUGCUCGCGCAGCCGACGCAGACGAUGAUCGGCGACGACCGGCUGUCCGACCUCCCCGACGACCUUCUCCGGCGCGUCUUGCACUUCGCCCCAGCCAAGGAGGCCGCCUCCACGACCGCGCUCUCGCGGCGCUGGUGCACGCCGCUCUGGCGCUCCACCGGCGCCGUAAACCUCGAGUCGCGCGUCCACGACAACGACCGCCACCACCACCGCCGCAACAUCGACAGACGAGAUGACGAGGCCGGAUUUGUGUCCCGGCGCGAAGCCUUCGUCUCCGCGGCCAUGGUGGCGCUCGACGCCGCGGCCGCCGACGACCACGUCACCAGACUCACCUUACGCCUCAAGUCUGACAGCGACGCCACGGUUGCCGAGUUCCUGAACGGCAGCUCCGACAGGCGCCUACAAGCUCACCCUCGACAAGCUGCCGUGGGAGACCCUCCGCGUGCUGGAUCUCACCAACAGUCAGGGCCUCUACCAGCCGAAGAAGGCCGCCGCGCUGUGGUGCUCCCGAGGCUGUCGUCGCUCAGGCUGCGGCAUUGUGGUCAGCACCUUGUCUCUCUCCAGAGCAUCAUCGACGCCGCGCCGGUGCUCGCCGCUGUCCGCCUCGAGUCCGUCCUGAUCGACGCAACAAACCACGACAAUUGCUGGGGCUGCGGUAACAAGAUCGACCGCUGGGCCGGCAGCGAUGAAGACGACGACGACGACGAUGCACCUCAAUCGCCGCCCAAAGAAGCUGCACCCUGCCGCCUCCGAUGCCCAGCGGCCACCCUGCUCGUGCUGGAGAGGUGCAAGUGGGAGGAGAAGGAACAUGGGCGCCACGGCCACUCGUACCGUGACAACGAUGACGACAAGCUUGUCAACCUGAUCGCUGCGGAGAUCGAGGCGCCGAGGCUGCGCCGCUUCAGGUACAAGGGAUAUCUCCGGCCGUUCUCAUUCAGUUCACAGCCACCGGAGUUGGAACAAGUGGACCUCGAUUCUUUCCCGUGCGACGACGACGAGAACCACAAGAACAAGGAACCAAACCGCGUCCUAGCGACCAUCUGGCGAUUGGUUCGGAGCUUCACCAGCGCCAGGGAGAUGAAGCUAAGGCUGAACCACCUCGAGGACAUCGCCGUCCUGAGAGAGGCAAGGCAGGUCGAGCUCCUGCCUGCAUUCCGCCGCCUCGAGCGACUCGAGCUGCAAGGGGUGCACAGGCCGAAAGGCAAGACCGCGUCGGUGACGAUCGCGAACCUGCUCCGCCGCUGCCCCGUGCUUCUUGACCUCUGGAUCAACCUCACUGCGGAGGACCAAAACGCCCGCAAAAAUUAUCAGCACGCACAUGAAUUCUUCGAAAGGAAAUUCCGGUAUGACCGUGACAAGUCCAAGGAUCGUCUUGACCACUGCUGCCGCGACUCGGAGCCUGACACGAUUUCGCCGGAAGGAGAAGGCGAUGGUGUUAAUUACUAUGACGAAGUUUCUGAAAUUCCUGCCUUGAGUCGACACUCGUUCGAAUGCUUGCAGAGCUCACUAAGGAGAGUGUGCCUGCAAUUCCAGUUGGAGAAGUCCAACUGUCUCGGUCUCCAGCUGAUCAAAUUCUUCGCCGAGAACGCCAUGGUCCUUGAAGAAAUGCAUAUCGAUGUUGGGAACGGGAAGCUGUGGGAGCACAUGAAUAGCAAGAUCGAAACAUGGAUAGCCAAUUCAUGCAAAAGAAAUAAGCCAGGAGCGUCAAGAGAUGGCUAUACAAAGAAUGAGAUUUGUGAGUUUUUGACAUGUAUACCUUUU